rnacentral:rRNA from 1 species
GAUGAACGCUAGCGGGAGGCCUAACACAUGCAAGCCGAGCGGGAUUUGAGACUAGCUUGCUAGUCUUAAUGAGAGCGGCGUACGGGUGCGGAACACGCGUGCAACCUGCCUUUAUCUGGGAGAUAGCCUUUCGAAAGGAAGAUUAAUAUCCCAUAAUAUAAUGAUUGGCAUCAAUUAUUAUUGAAAGCUCCGGCGGAUAGAGAUGGGCACGCGCAAGAUUAGAUAGUUGGUGAGGUAACGGCCCACCAAGUCGAUGAUCUUUAGGGGGCCUGAGAGGGUGAUCCCCCACACUGGUACUGGGACACGUACCAGACUCCUACAGGAGGCAGCAGUGAGGAAUAUUGGACAAUGGGUGAAAGCCUGAUCCAGCCAUCCCGCGUGAAAGAUUAAGGACCUAUGGUUUGUAAACUUCUUUUCUACAGGGAUAAACCUACUCUCGUGAGAGUAGCUGAAGGUACUGUAGGAAUAAGCACCGGCUAACUCCGUGCCAGCCGCCGCCGUAA